UUGACCUGGCAAGCCUGUCUCUGUCUGAGCAUGAUCACAACAAAAGUAGCUGUGCAGCACGUUUUUUAAUGAAGAGGAGGAUGGUUGUAGACGUUCACAUUCCUGCAAGAAGGCACUGCAGAGGCUAAGAAGACACAUGGAAACUCUAAAACAAACAUAAUUCAACUUGUAGGCCAGAUUUGAAAAGGAAAUAAUAAAUCCCGAAGCUCAGAUGUCAGACACCGAGGCUGCCAGUACCUCUGGGUCGAUAGUCCAUGUGUUGGAUGAUGCACUGCCGUUGAUCAGAACAGACAGCGUAUACGAGAGAUGUCAGCGAUUCGGGCUAAACAGCCAAUGACCAAGGGAAAGCUGGGACAAAUGAGAGGCUCACACGGUGUAACGAUCGUCAAAAGGAGUAGACCAAGGUGCAGCGUGG